CAAGCAAGCAGCCCUUCUUGUGUCCUCGCCGCCGUCCCUCGUGAUUUUGGGCGUGCAACGGAGCCUGGAGACAGUCCGCAACUCCCAUCAUCGCCGUCCUGCAUCGACCAGGUCAACCAAAAGGGAAAGACAACCCGCACGCGGGGGGCAGCGCCGUUGCUUUCUUACGUUCUCCUGCUCUUGCAGCUCACGUCAGACACAGCAAACAGUGGACGCCGUAUUCUUUAUCUUUUUGUAUCCAUAUCGCCGCUCUCCCUCUCCACCCCACCCUCUCCAUCAUCACCGAUCCCCGCAUUACUCGCCGAGAGCUGGCGUCUGUUUUUGUUUUACUUGCAACCCGUCACCAUGGCGGCGAGCGGUGGUGACGAGCAACUCGAUGGGCUGGUCGACUCCAUUCUGCAGUCGCGUGGCCACCUCGCUAGCGCUGGCCAAAUCACCCAGCGGCUGCCAUCACCACAGCAAAGGGAGCACACCAGCAGCAACAGCCACGACACCAGAAUGAGGGCCUACAUGCACUCCAUGAGCCCCGGCGGCAGCAGUAGCUCUGUGGGCAAUUUUGUGGCAGCCGGUACGGCUGCCCACCACGCCUUGGCGUCCACGAGCAGAGCGACGGCAACGCACCUGGACACCGUGGAUGGAGAGAAAGGAGAAGAGGAGGACGACUUGAGCACCCUGGUCAAGCGCAUCCUUGCCGGUUCCGGCGUCCGUGGGCGCCCCUCUACCUCGUCGACCUCGUCCCCGCGAUUCUCCCAGGUCCCACCACCGUACAUCGGGAACCCCGGGGGCAACAGCACAAGCUGGCUCAAGGGCGCCACUCGGAUGAAGGGAGGAAGUAGCAGCCUGUCCCGCACGUUCGGCGCCGGCACCGCCUCACCGGAUGCUCGUAUGCAGGCGGUUGUCCGCCGGCUCACCCUCUGGUACGAGCGCAAAGAGGCGAAGCGCGUGCAGGCCGUGUACGAAGCCCUCGAGCGGGAGCAGCUGGACUGCACCUUCGAGCCGCGCAUUAACCGCUUGGGAGUGGAGGUGGGAGGCAGUGUGGUUGUCAAUGAGGAAGAUCGCCCUCUUCAUCGGCGUCACCACAACGCAGAUGAGUAUCCGCGGCGCCCCUCAGCUUCAUCGAAAACUCGUGGCAGCUCCGGCAGUCGCGCAGUCUCGCACACAAACACGAUCAGCAUGUCCUCGUCGUCUUCCCGAGUCACGCCGCACAUGUGUGAGUACAUUCCGUCGCUGCAGCCACCUUCGCAGCCCAUCACCGGCGCCGACGCCUUUGUGGAGCGCCUUCGGCGCGCACAGGACGAGCGGGACGCGGUGCGAGAGGCCGAGGAAGCGAAGAGACUUCACUACUACGACCCGGCAACCUUCCGGCGCGACCUCACGGUGCCAGUACCGUUCGAGUUCGUUGAGACGCGUCCACGGCGACUGGCGGCGGCGACGACUGCCGCGGCCGGCGGCUCGCCGUCGCGUGAUCCCGGCGACAUUGUGGGUGCCACACGGCCAAGCAUACCUCCACUCAGCGCGCGCGCAGCUGCACUCGCCGCAUGCAGAGAUGCGGGGGCAACAUCACCGCGACCGGCGGAGGACGGCUUCCGUGACGUGAACGAGGACAAGCGCCUCACGCCCGAGAACACGUUUCUCUCGCUCGCCCCACACAUUCGCCAGACGCUGCUGUUUGACCGACAAAUGGAAUUGCAGCUGCGUCGCGCGACAGACUCGGUGCGUCGUGUGAGGCGAGGCGAGUGAGUGACGCGAAAGCAAGGAGGAGGUUGGCGGGAGAGGGUAAGACUGUCCGUCUUGUGCUUCAGGGGCCACUCCAGCGUGUAAAAAAGCGCUGCUGCUACUGCUUCAGUGUCGCUGUCAAUGCUGUUGUGUUGUCGCACUUCCUCGAAUAUGCUCGUGCCACUGGUGUGCGUGUGUGCGCGUAAAGCUGUCUGCUCAUUCUUUGUUGUGGUUUCUCGUUCAGCGCGUCUCGCUGGCUUCCUCAUUACUUCAGUUUCCCCUCAUAUUUCCCUUCGCCCAUGUACUUUAUAUCUCGCCAAGCCGUCAG
rnacentral:misc_RNA from 1 species